CCUACGGGUGGCAGCAGUGGGGAAUAUUGCACAAUGGGGGAAACCCUGAUGCAGCAACGCCGCGUGGGUGAAGGAGCGUUUCGGCGCGUAAAGCCCUGUCAGCGGGGAAGAAGAAAGACGGUACCCGACCAAGAAGCCCCGGCUAACUACGUGCCAGCAGCCGCGGUAAUACGUAGGGGGCGAGCGUUAUCCGGAAUUACUGGGUGUAAAGGGAGCGUAGACGGCGAGGUAAGCCUGAAGUGGAAGCCCGCGGCCCAACCGCGGAACUGCUUUGGGAACUGUUUUGCUGGAGUAUGGGAGGGGUAAGCGGAAUUCCUGGUGUAGCGGUGAAAUGCGUAGAUAUCGCGCAGAACUCCGAUUGCGAAGGCAGCAUGCCGGCUCCACACUGACGCUGAGGCACGAAAGCGUGGGUAUCGAACAGGAUUAGAUACCCGUGUAGUC
rnacentral:rRNA from 1 species